CAGACAGAGCACCAGAGAGAGAGGGACUGAACUAGCAUAUAUCUCCAGAAUUCGUUCCGAGAUGGGAAACGAUGGCUCCCGUCCCCAGCACUCCUUCUCCAUCUUCCGUCCUUCCAUUCCUUUUUCUCCCCGUCUGUCCGCUCCCAGCUCUCCAUCUCUUCUUCUCACUCUCACGGUCUCACGCGCUCCCAGAGUCUCUCCUUAUACACAACCUGCACCCCCACACUCCACACAGAUGACAAGAUGGUGGAUGCACAGGGGCAGGGCCCAGGCCUGUCUGUACUGUCCCAGCAAGGCCCAGGACUGUCUGUAGACCUUGCUCAUUUGGAAACCUGUCUGUACAGGGCCCAGGCCUGUCUGUACUGUCCCAGCAGGGCCCAGGCCUGUCUGUACUGUCCCAGCAGGGCCCAGGCCUGUCUGUAGACCUUGCUCAUUUGGAAAAAUGUCUGUACAGGGCCCAGGCCUGUCUGUACUGUCCCAGAAGGGCCCAGGCCUAUCUGUACUGUCCCAGCAGGUCUAGGCUCUGCUGUAGACCUUGCUCAUUUGGAAACUCCUAGACUCCUGUUGUUUUAGAAAAAUAAGGUAAUUUUAAGGCAAUUUAUUUAUAUAAAUAUAAAUAUUAGUGUUUGUCUCAAACUGCAGCCGUGUCUUACUCCACACUCUUGAGAGAUUAAAUUUAUUGCCAAUUUUUACGCUGUUCUUUUGUAUAAUUAGAUUGCUUAAUUAAAUCACGUGUUCUAGCUCUACACCACUUUCAUCACAUUUGUAGAAAGAGCCUUGGUGUCAUUUACAGUUGCAAGCAAAAGUCUGUAAACCACAUUUGCACGAGCUGCAUUUCUGCAGGGGUGGUUCCUGAAGUGUGUAUGCAGAAACCACCAAGCCACAUACAGUGUAACGGUACCCCAGAACACAGGACGACGUCAACACAGAGUGACUGAGGCAGAAGACAUUUGGUGUCAUUGAACAGCAGAGUACACGAACUGAGUACAGUCCCACGGAAAUAUUUUGCCACAGAAAAAUGAAAAAGAAACAUACCCAAAACACUAACCACUGUGCUAGACUGAAGAAAGCUUUUGGUUGAAGUUGCUGAUAAUAAAGGAAGUAACACCAGUUACUUUUUCUAUUA